rnacentral:rRNA from 1 species
AGUGAACGCUGGCGGCAGGCCUAAUACAUGCAAGUCGAACGGCAGCACGGCAGAGCUUGCUCUGUGGGUGGCGAGUGGCGGACGGGUGAGGAAUACAUGGGAAUCUGCCCAGUCGUGGGGGAUAACGUAGGGAAACUUACGCUAAUACCGCAUGCGCCCUUCGGGGGAAACCGGGGACCUUCGGGCCUGGCGCGAUUGGAUGAGCCCAUGUCGGAUUAGCUAGUUGGCGGGGUAAUGGCCCACCAAGGCGACGAUCCGUAGCUGGUCUGAGAGGAUGAUCAGCCACACUGGAACUGAGACACGGUCCAGACUCCUACGGGAGGCAGCAGUAGGGAAUAUUGGACAAUGGGCGCAAGCCUGAUCCAGCCAUGCCGCGUGAGUGAAGAAGGCCCUCGGGUUGUAAAGCUCUUUUGUCCGGAAAGAAAAGCGCCGGGUUAAACCCUGGUGUCCUGACGGUACCGGAAGAAUAAGCAACCGGCUAACUUCGUGCCAGCAGCCCGG